ACAAUGGCCCGAAUUCACAAAGGUGGACUAAAGUUAUACCCGGGGUAUAAAACGCGUCAUUUGACGUCAUUUUAAUCCAUGGACUAAAGUUAGUACCUAGGUACUAACUUUUGCGAUUCACAAAGGUGGACUAAAGUUAUACCGGGGUAUAAAACGCGUCAUUUGACGUCACGAUUUAGUCAGCUCUUUGGGGUGGACUAAAUCGGUGGAUUAAAGUUAGUCCACGGUUUUAACCAAUCAGAGAGCAGCAUUGCGGUUGCAGAAAAGUUUGCUGCAAAAAAAAAGUUUUUUGGACGGAGACGAGAUUCGGUGUGAUCGGCUUAUCUAAAGCUUAAAAUUUCACGACUUCGACCGAGAUUAAACAGACCAUACUCGGCAGAUUGUGAGAUUGUGAUCAAUCAAGACGACAAACAUGGCUCACAUUUUUGAACUGCUGUGCCUUCUUGCAACAGAGUGAGAUUCAGCAACACAUAGGAAGACCACAGCAUGGAUUAAGAGACAGGAAGAAUCCAUUUGAAUGCUACAAGGAUGAACCUUUCAGAGUGGGCUACCAACAGAGAGAAACGACACAUUGCCUGACAUGUUACAUGUUUUGACAGGACUUUGUUUUUAUGCCAUUGGUACCUUUUAGAAGAUGCAAGCAGACAAAGCAACUAUAUCAUAGUCAUCCGUGUGCAGAAUCAUCAAAGAUUUUUCUGAGGCAAUGGCAAGGAGUAACAGUUAAUGAAGUGUCCGAUGACGAGAAAUUCAAACCACCCAGCGACAAUUUGAUGAUUGCUACAGGUUUCCAAGAGUCGUAGGUGCUAUCGAUUGGGGCCAUGUCUACAUCAGGAGUCCUGAUGGGGAACAAGCCCUGUACUUAGCAGAAAGAACAGGUCUUCUGUAAAUGUAUAGGUAUCCGUUGCUCCUCUCUUUGAUGAAUUCCUGCCUGCAUUCUGUUGUCAAUAGAAAAGGACCAUGUGCUUCGGGUAUUAAGCAUUCCAUUGGAUUAUCUGUGUAUGAAAGUGGACACUUGUGAUCACAAAAUGGUAGCUUAGUUGAUAGGAUGUAUUCAUGCAUUCCGAUUUAUCAUUAGUGAUCAAAUGACCAUCUUGCUUUUAAAAACCCAAAUUCACAACAUUUUUCUUGUUUGACAAAAGGUUUGGGAUGUGAAUUCCAGGAAAUAAAUGACACACACGAUGGGCUAAUGUAUAAGCAGGGAUGUGAGAGGUAUAAGCAACAUUUUGCUCAUGCUUAACUAAGUUUGGCAUGAGAUGGUCUUGGUCAUUCUUAUGAUUCAAGUCUAUUUUUAUACCAUUU